rfam:Hyperthermus butylicus DSM 5456, complete genome.
CGGGUAGGGCCGGGGGGCUCGCCCUCCCCCCACGCCCGAAACGGGCGCAAUGCGGGGGCCAGUAACCCGGCUUGGGGCUGUAGGCCCCCGCGGCAGACCCAGCCGACCAAUGACCCCCGUCCCGCGGGGCCGGCGGCGGCGGAGCCCCCUCCGGAGGGAGGGCGGCUACCGCCCUUGCCGGGGGAACCAGGCCAGGCCCGGAAGGGAGCAACCUAACCCCGGACGCCCGGCGUUCGCGGGGGCGCGGGGUGAGGCAACGGCUGGGCCCGCUGCC